rnacentral:rRNA from 1 species
UGGGGAAUUUUGGACAAUGGGCGCAAGCCUGAUCCAGCCAUGCCGCGUGCGGGAAGAAGGCCUUCGGGCUGUAAACCGCUUUUGUCAGGGAAGAAAUCUUCUGAGUUAAUACCUCGGGAGGAUGACGGUACCUGAAGAAUAAGCACCGGCUAACUACGUGCCAGCAGCCGCGGUAAUACGUAGGGUGCAAGCGUUAAUCGGAAUUACUGGGCGUAAAGCGUGCGCAGGCGGUUUUGUAAGACAGAGGUGAAAUCCCCGGGCUCAACCUGGGAACUGCCUUUGUGACUGCAAGGCUUGAGUGCGGCAGAGGGGGGAUGGAAUUCCGCGUGUAGCAGUGAAAUGCGUAGAUAUGCGGAGGAACACCGAUGGCGAAGGCAAUCCCCUGGGCCUGCACUGACGCUCAUGCACGAAAGCGUGGGGAGCAAACAGGAUUAGAUACCCUGGUAGUCCACGCCCUAAACGAUGUCAACUGGUUGUUGGGAAGGUUCCUUCUCAGUAACGUAGCUAACGCGUGAAGUUGACCGCCU